rnacentral:rRNA from 1 species
UACGUAGGGUGCAAGCGUUAAUCGGAAUUACUGGGCGUGAAGCGUGCGCAGGCGGUUUUGUAAGUCAGAUGUGAAAUCCCCGGGCUUAACCUGGGAACUGCGUUUGAAACUACAAGGCUAGAGUGUGGCAGAGGGGGGUGGAAUUCCACGUGUAGCAGUGAAAUGCGUAGAGAUGUGGAGGAACACCGAUGGCGAAGGCAGCCCCCUGGGUUAACACUGACGCUCAGGCACGAAAGCGUGGGGAGCAAACAGG